AUCAUGGACUCAGGAUGGACGCUAGCGGCAGGCUAAUACAUGCAAGACGAACGGUAAGUUGAGUAGCAAUACUUAGCCAAGAGUGUCGUACGGGUGCGUAACACGUAUGCAACCUACCCUAUACAGGAGGAUAGCCUAGGGAAACCUGGAUUAACCCUUCAUAGUAUUAUUGGAUGGCAUCAUUUGAUAAUUAAAACUGAGGUGGUAUAGGAUGGGCAUGCGUCUGAUUAGUUAGUUGGCGGGGUAAUGGCCCACCAAGACGAUGAUCAGUAGGGGUUCUGAGAGGAAGAUCCCCCACACUGGCACUGAGAUACGGGCCAGACUCCUACGGGAGGCAGCAGUAGGGAAUAUUGGUCAAUGGAUGCAAGUCUGAACCAGCCAUGCCGCGUGCAGGAAGAAGGCCUUCUGGGUUGUAAACUGCUUUUGCCAGGGGAUAAAAUUUCCAUGCGUGGAAAACUGAAGGUACCUGGUGAAUAAGCCACGGCUAACUACGUG
rnacentral:rRNA from 1 species